UGGGGAAUAUUGGACAAUGGGCGCAAGCCUGAUCCAGCCAUGCCGCGUGAGUGAUGAAGGCCUUAGGGUUGUAAAGCUCUUUUAUCCGGGACGAUAAUGACGGUACCGGAGGAAUAAGCCCCGGCUAACUUCGUGCCAGCAGCCGCGGUAAUACGAAGGGGCGUAGCGUUGCUCGGAAUCACUGGGCGUAAAGGGCGCGUAGGCGGCGUUUUAAGUCGGGGGUGAAAGCCUGUGGCUCAACCACAGAAUGGCCUUCGAUACUGGGACGCUUGAGUAUGGUAGAGGUUGGUGGAACUGCGAGUGUAGAGGUGAAAUUCGUAGAUAUUCGCAAGAACACCGGUGGCGAAGGCGGCCAACUGGACCAUUUACUGACGCUGAGGCGCGAAAGCGUGGGGAGCAAAACA
rnacentral:rRNA from 1 species